CGGCGGACACGAAUAGGAUCUUGAAAGCAAGAAAAUAUAUCGGCUUGAUGACGAUCGCAGGAAGAACGAGACAAGGUAACGUGAAUUCGAACAUUGAUAUGGGGAGCAAGAAACUCCCCAGGGUAUCGUUCAAAAGAAGCUAGAUCCUCGUCGUCCUCAAAGGAGAUUUGAAAAAUAGAGGAGCAAUUGUUAGGAUCCAAGUGGAAUACCGAAUAACCAUCAUAUUGUAAAGAAUACAAACCGCGACGGGCAGACAAGUUGCAAAUCGGUGAAUCGGUAUAGACAUCCUUUGCAAAAACGCGAAGUGAAUAUUCGUCUAAGAAGGAAAGACGAGCACGAAUGAUCUUGUUGGCAAUCAAAGUCAAUGGAUAACUGGCGAAGCUAGACUGGAUAACGUCGUGUGCAGGUAAAUACUGCAUGACCGAGUCAAUGACUUCUACUGGAAGCAGAGUAGAAGAUGUUUGUUGAGCGUCGAAAUUAACGUAGGAAUUAGGUUGAAGGGCAGUCUGGGGUACAGACAUGGGGGCUCUAGUAACACAGCUCAUUUUUUACCAAACCAAAAAAAAAAAGGUAAGAAAUAAUUUAAAAAAAAAAUCGGGCAAUUAAGCUGAAUAAAUAAAGAGAAUAUAGCACCGAUCGAUGGAAUGUGAAUGAAAUGAGAUGAUGGACGAUUAACAAAACAAAAUAUUUCUAUUUCGACCUAUUCAAACCUCGAUAUGCGUUUCUAUUAUGAAGGAAAAAAGACAGUAAAUUGUAAACAAUUAAAGAAUUAAAAUGUCUAAACAAACAAGUAGCUCAAAAAGACGGAAUUCCAAAAUUAGUGAAAAAAGUAAAUAAGCAAACUUCUUUUUCUAAAGCCAAGGAAUGACUGUCAACGAGACUAGCAAUGGGGAAACCUUGCAAUUGAACGCUUUACGUCUCACAAUACAAGCCUUGGUUUCUGCAGAAUAGAUGAAAGGAGAUGCUCCUUUUUAUAAACUAAAAAUUUGGCCUUUUGCCUCCUCUCCCAACUGCCGAUAUCGUAAUUAGAGUUGAAAUAAAAAUGUCCAUUUUGAACCUUAAAGAACGAAUGAACGAGCGCCAAGCAGUUAUUCCAUCAAACCGGAUC